UACGUAGGGGGCAAGCGUUGUCCGGAUUUAUUGGGCGUAAAGAGCGUGUAGGCGGCCAGGUAGGUCUGGUGUGAAAACUCGAGGCUUAACCUCGAGAUGUCAUCGGAAACCAUCUGGCUAGAGUCCGGAAGAGGAGAGUGGAAUUCCUGGUGUAGCGGUGAAAUGCGCAGAUAUCAGGAGGAACACCAAUUGCGAAGGCAGCUCGCUGGGACGUUACUGACGCUGAGACGCGAAAGCGUGGGGAGCAAACAGG
rnacentral:rRNA from 1 species